AGCAGCCGCGGUAAUUCCAGCUCCAAUAGCGUAUAUUAAAGUUGUUGCAGUUAAAAAGCUCGUAGUUGAAUUUCGGGAUUGGCGCAUCGGUCGUGCCUCACGGGGUAUGAAUUGGUGCAGUCAAUUUCUCACCUUCUGGAGAACCGCGAUGUCCUUAAUUGGAUGCCGCGGGGAACCAGGACCUUUACUUUGAAAAAAUUAGAGUGUUUAAAGCAGGCAUUUUUGCUUGAAUACAUUAGCAUGGAAUAAUAAAAUAGGACGGCAUGGUUCUAUUUUGUUGGUUUCUAGGACCACCGUAAUGAUUAAUAGGGAUAGUUGGGGGCAUUAGUAUUCAAUUGUCAGAGGUGAAAUUCUUGGAUUUAUUGAAGACUAACUACUGCGAAAGCAUUUGCCAAGGAUGUUUUCAUUAAUCAAGAACGAAAGUUAGGGGAUCGAAGACGAUCAGAUACCGUCGUAGUCUUAACCAUAAACUAUGCCGACUAGGAAUCAGACGAUGUUAAUUUUUUAAUGACUCGUUUGG
rnacentral:misc_RNA from 1 species